CGCCCAACAGCUAGCCCAUUUUAAUAAAAACAACCUACCAACAUAAAUAAACCCUAAUGCACUACAAAUUAUUAAACAAACCAUUUUCCCACCUCAGUAUAGGAGAUAGAAAAGGACACAAGAGCAAUAGAAAAAGUACCGCAAGGGAACGCUGAAAGAGAAAUGAAACAACCCAGUAAAGCAUAAAAAAGCAGAGAUUUAAACUCGUACCUUUUGCAUCAUGAUUUAGCUAGUAUAUUCAAGCAAAGAGCGCUUUAGUUUGAAACCCCGAAACUAAGUGAGCUACUUCAAGACAGCCUAUAAUAGGGCACACCCGUCUCUGUGGCAAAAGAGUGGGAAGAGCUUCAAGUAGAGGUGAUAAACCUACCGAACUUAGUUAUAGCUGGUUGUCUAUGAAUUGGAUAGAAGUUCAGCCUCUAGGCUUCUCCACUCAUCGCACAUAUUAACCCAAAUUGAUACUCAAGAAACCUAGAGAGUUAAUCAAAGGGGGUACAGCCCCUUUGAUUCAAGAUACAACUUUAUUAGGAGGUUAAAGAUCAUAAUUACCUAAGGUAUAAUGUUUUGGUGGGCCUAAAAGCAGCCAUCCAGUUAGAAAGCGUUAAAGCUCAAACAUACCCAUCCCCCAAUAUCCAGAUAAAUAAUUCCUAAACCCCUAACAUUAAUAGACCAUUCUAUGCAAACAUAGAAGAGAUUAUGCUAAUAUGAGUAAUAAGAGAACAUCCGCUUCUCUCCAAGCACAAGUGUAAAUCGGAACGAACCAUUCACCGAACCCUAACGGCCCCAACUAAAGAGUGUACUGAAUUAUAAAUUAAAUAACAAGAAAACUAUUCAUUAAUAAACCGUUAAUCCUACACUGGCAUGCUAACAAGGAAAGACUCAAAGAAAGUAAAGGAACUCGGCAAACAUAAGCCUCGCCUGUUUACCAAAAACAUCGCCUCUUGCAAAACUAAAGAAUAAGAGGUCCCGCCUGCCCUGUGACGAUAAGUUUAACGGCCGCGGUAUUUUGACCGUGCGAAGGUAGCGCAAUCACUUGUCUCUUAAAUGGGGACCUGUAUGAAUGGCACCACGAGGGCUUGACUGUCUCUACUUUCCGGUCAAUGAAAUUGAUCCCCCCGUGCAGAAGCGGGGAUUAUAACAUAAGACGAGAAGACCCUAUGGAGCUUUAGACACUAAAGCAGAUCACGUCAAACACCCCUAAUUAAAGGAAUAAAACCAAAUGAACCCUGCCCUACUGUCUUUGGUUGGGGCGACCGCGGGGAAAUACAAAACCCCCACGUGGAAUGAGACCACCUGUCUUAAAACCAAGAGCUCCCGCUCUACUAAACAGAACUUCUGACCAAUAAGAUCCGGCUCUGCCGAUCAACGGACCGAGUUACCCUAGGGAUAACAGCGCAAUCCCCUUCUAGAGCCCAUAUCGACAAGGGGGUUUACGACCUCGAUGUUGGAUCAGGACAUCCUAAUGGUGCAGCCGCUAUUAAGGGUUCGUUUGUUCAACGAUUAAAGUCCUACGUGAUCUGAGUUCAGACCGGAGUAAUCCAGGUCAGUUUCUAUCUAUGACAUAAUCUUUUCUAGUACGAAAGGACCGAAAAGAAGAGGCCACUACCUAAAGUACGCCUCACCCUUACCUAAUGAAAACAAAUAAAAUAGGCAAAAGGGUAUACCCCCCCCCCCCAGCCAGAGAUAAUGGCAGGU
rnacentral:rRNA from 1 species